rnacentral:rRNA from 1 species
AACGAACGCUGGCGGCAUGCCUGAUACAUGCAAGUCGAACGAGAUCUUCGGAUCUAGUGGCGCACGGGUGCGUAACGCGUGGGAAUCUGCCCUUUGGUUCGGAAUAACUUCUGGAAACGGAAGCUAAUACCGGAUGAUGACGUAGGUCCAAAGAUUUAUCGCCAGAGGAUGGGCCCGCGUAGGAUUAGCUAGUUGGUGAGGUAAAGGCUCACCAAGGCUACGAUCCUUAGCUGGUGUGAGAGGAUGAUCAGCCACACUGGGACUGAGACACGGCCCAGACUCCUACGGGAGGCAGCAGUAGGGAAUAUUGGACAAUGGGCGCAAGCCUGAUCCAGCAAUGCCGCGUGAGCGAUGAAGGCCUUAGGGUUGUAAAGCUCUUUUACCCGGGAUGAUAAUGACAGUACCGGGAGAAUAAGCCCCGGCUAACUCCGUGCCAGCCGCCGCAGUAA